CAGAUGGCCAGGAUUGUGCAAGC
rnacentral:piRNA from 1 species